GUGCUUGCUUUGGCAACACAUACACUAAAAUUGGAAUGAUGUAGAGAAGAGUAGCAUGGCCCCUGUGCAAGGAUGGCAUAUAGGCUUGUGAAGGGUUCCAUAGUUUU
ensembl:snRNA U6 U6 spliceosomal RNA